UACGUAGGUGACAAGCGUUAUCCGGAAUUACUGGGCGUAAAGCGCACGCAGGCGGCUGCGUAAGUCUGACGUGAAAUCUCCCGGCUUAACCGGGAGCGGUCGUUGGAAACUACUUGGCUUGAGGCGAUGAGAGGGGUGUGGAAUUCCCGGUGUAGUGGUGGAAUGCGUAGAUAUCGGGAGGAACAUCAGUGGCGAAAGCGGCACCCUGGCAUUGGCCUGACGCUCAGGUGCGAAAGCGUGGGGAGCGAACGGG
rnacentral:rRNA from 1 species